UCUGGAAUGAUUGGGAGGCUUCCUGA
rnacentral:piRNA from 1 species